CUGAGGGGCCCUCUGCUCUGGGCUGACCGUCCCAUGUCCUAGUGGUCUGUGUGGAAUCACACCCUUAGGUGUCUUGAAUGACGCACUCUGGAAGGCACCUGGUCAUUGAGUUCUGUCGAGAAAUGGCUCUGUGCCAGGGCCUGCUCCCUCUGGCUUGCAGCAGGCGAGGACUGCAGCUCUGCCAAGCAGCGGUGAGCAACGCCGUCUUCCUAACUGCCAAGGAAAAAACGGUAAUUGCCUCUCAUAUGUUUGAAUAACCUAAGAUGAGGCUAAACAAGGCUAUUCAGCAGGAAGGAAGCAGCGGUUGAAAGUGCCCAAGCAGCAUAAAUGCCGAAAAGGAACUGGAAAACUCCUCUGCACCCAUUAUGAGUACCUGCUGGGACCUCUAGGCGAGCGAUGGAAAUGACAAUGACCAGGAAGCAGAGAUUUGUUCCGUCAGAUAAAUCUAAUUGCAGAGCUCUGAGUAUGAGCGCAUUACACUUUAGUAGAUUUGAAUCCCACUAUAAGACUUAUCAUCUUUGAGGACUGUGUGUUUAUUAGUGACGUGGAAGGAGUGAAUACAGCUUUGCUUAGGACUCCUCUAUUUCCUAACAGCAUUGUGUCUGUGAAGAUUUUGGUGCAGAACGAUGCCUUGGGCAGACAUCAACCGUGGUCACACACUGCCCCCUGGUGGCUCAAAGGAACCUCACCGGUUUGUCCUGAAAAGGAAGUGCCCGGAGAAAGACGGCCAAUCUCUCCCUAUCUCUGUGAUGAUGCUCUCUUCUUCUGUAACCACCAAUUUCAAACCGAGUGUAUGAACAGUUACAGUUUUCUAGGUCUCCAAGGCGUCUUUCAGGGCUUCAUGCAUCACUGCCUUUGGGGGAUGUUUAUAGGAUUUGACUCUGCUCCACGUUAUUUGGCCUCUCGGGCUUUCCUUAGAAAGCUGAUGUGGAUGAUGUCAUGGGCUGCAGCUGGCUGGCAGAAGCUUCCUCAGGACAUGCUGUCAUGGUAGAUCAUGGGGUGAGGGGUAUUAGCUGCCAAGCUACUGGACAUUUACAGUUCUAAUGAAAACGUCAGAUCUACCGUUCCUGCACUAGUCAGAGGAUGAAUGACGCAUGGUCGUCAGUAAGAUGGAGAAACACACUGUUCCUUCCUCAGUGGGAGGUGCUGCCAGCUCAUGGAUCCAUGGAACAAGUCAAAAACUGAGCACAGUGACUCAAAGAGACAGAGCUGCUCUUCUGUCAUCAUUUACAAAUGGAGAGAUUUAAUGAAGAGAAAACGGGAUUGGUACACCUAGAACCUAAACCUGGAAGCUGGAGACACCUGACUGUCAAACCAUUUUUUUUGCACAGGAUGCUUUGGGGGCACGUAGGGACAUGGGUUAAGAAGGGCUGCAUAGGGAAGAUCGUGGGUUAGGGAAGAUUGGGUUGGGGCUACGCCUGAGCACUGUUGGGUCAGAUUUGAAAUCUAACUGUGGAAAACAACUGAGGUCAUUAACACUUGUAAGAACAGUUUCAUUGGGGGAGGUGAGAACAGAGGCAGAUGGUGGUAGAUUCAGGGGUGAGUGGGAAGUGAAGGAAUGGAGCCAGCUUCCAGAGCCUGGCUAAGAGGAGCAGGGAAAAUCUGGCAAUAGGAUUGAAAUAGGGAGGAAUGUCACCUUCUUUGUUUUUCUUAAAGUCAUGAGCACUUUAUAUAUUUUCUCAUCCUCUAGCUUGGGUCUAGCUUGUUUCCCGAGACUCUGAGGUCGGUCUUUAGGUUGGGAGCAUCAUUCUCCCUGGGUUUUAUGUGUGGACUCUCAUGGUUACGCUUCUCUCUGAGAACGGCUGGGCUAUGAUUAAUAGCUUCUGUCUUUGUUUUCACUGGCUUCCAGGAACUUUCUAAUUUUCUCCCCAGUUGGGUGGUGUCAUCUCUUGCUAUUGACUUCUAGUUCUAUUCCAUUAUUAUCUGGAAGGACAUAAGAAGCAGUUUGAUCUCUUUUUGUAUUUGCUAUGCCUUCCUUCCAUGGUGUACAAUGAGAUCUGUUUCAGAGAAAGCUCCAUUGGCUGCUAAGGAUGUGUAUUCUGUUGCUGUUGGAUGGAAUAUUCUGUGGAUGUCUAUUUGUGUUGGUUUGAGGUAGGGUCUCACGUAGCCUAGAGUGGCCUCAAACAUGUUGUAUAGCCAAAGAAUGUAGACAAAUUUCUAAGUAGUUUUAUUAAAUAAGAAACACAG